UAAUAAUUAAUUUAUGUUUAUCCACGUCAUUUAAUGGAAGCAAAUUACUUCUUGAAUUGGACAACUUCAGUCCCCCGAAAUCUUGAAUUUAGCAAACAACACCCUCUCAGGCUCUAUUCCUGAUUUAUCUAACCUUUCCGCCUUGAAAUACAACUUUCAUGGAAACCGGUUGACCGGUGAAAUCCCGCCGGAGCUACUCUGGCUUCUGAGCUCCAGAAUCUUGAUCUUUCAAGUAACAAUCUUUUAGGAAACAUUACCCAUUUCAAUUUUUGAAAAUGGUAACCUCGAAGCUUUAGUUUUUUCUAGCAAUUCUUUCACCGGUGGGUUCCUGGAGAAACUGUGCUCGGGGGACUCGAAUUUACGCCAUUUGUUUAUCUCCAGCAACCGUCUUUCCGGCGAUUUCCCUUUUCUGGUGCUAAUCUGUUCUUCAAUCGAAGUGGUGGGCAUUUCUGGUAAUAACUUUGGAAACGAAAUACCAUAUGAGAUUCACUAUCUAAAGAACCUCACUGAUCUUUUACUCAACAAUAAUAGUUUUUCCGGUAGUUUACCUUCUGAAAUCGGAAACUUGAGUAAUUUGGUGAAUCUAUAUCUAUUUGGGAACAUGAUUACAGGAAACAUUCCAAUUGAGUUCAGGAAUUGCUCGAUGUUAAAUGAAUUGAUUUUUUUGGGAAUCAUUUCACGGGUCAGAUUUUGGGUACAAUUGGGAAGCUCAAGAAUCUGGUUUUUCUUCAGCUGAGGCAAAAGGAUUUAUCGGGUCGGGUUCCAUUGAGUUUGGGUUACUACAGAAAGCUUCAAACUUUAUCGUUGUGUGAUAACAAGCUUUCAGGAUCACUUUCAAAUACAUUUAGGUAUCUUUUUGAGCUUUCGUUUCUUAGUCUUUAUAAUAAUUCUUUCGAAGGUCCUCUUCCUGAAACAAUCUCUCUUGAAGAAUCUCACAAUUGUGAAUAUUUCUCACAAUCGAUUCUCGGGUUCGAUUUCGCCUCUUGUGGGGUCCGAUUUGUUGUUGUUGUUCGAUUUGACUAAUAACAGUUUCUCCGGGUUUAUUCCUUCAAAAUUAGCGAGGUUGACCAAGCUUUCCGGUGAGAUGCCAUGAGAGAUUGAGAAUCUAACUGGCUUAAAUGUUCUGAAGCUUCAAAGAAACAAUCUCUCCGCAGCUUCGUUUCUUUGUAUCCUUUUCCAUUUUUUGAUUUUGAUUUUGGUAGCAAUUCAUAAGGUUGCUCGAAUUAGUACUUCUUUUGAUAUUAAUAUAUCCAGUUUGUGACAUUUUACUUUCAUUUGAAUUUUGUGUCAUUGGUUUUGAACUAGUUUGAUGAAGUUUUGGUAUGACGUCGAUUAAUUUCAACUAUUUCAUUAUUCAUUUAA